UGGCUAUCUAGGUCUAUACAUGCUAUAUCUUCCUAUUUUAGGACAGUGGGGGCUACCCAUAUCUAAAGAAAGUAUGAUGUUAUAAUAGAUGUAUAGUAUAAUGUGUAAUAAGAUUAAAGAAUACUUUGGUUUCAGAAGCUGUACUAACUAUCAAAGAAAGGUAAUCCCUACUGCAUUUCCAAUUGUUAUUAUUACUGGCUUGACUAUAUAUGACUGUUUGUUUUCACAUGCAGGGAUCCUCGGAUGUAAAUAUCCAACGUGCUGUGGCACUCCGUGGCCUUCCUUUCUACCUCCAUGAAGAUGAUGGCACUUUUAUAAAGACAUGGGAUGGAUCCUCGGAUGUAAAUAUCCAACAUACUGUGGCACUCCGUGGCCUUCCUUUCUACCUCCAUGAAGAUGAUGGCACUUUUAUAAAGACAUGGGAUGUCUCUCAAUCGGAGUUCAAGAUGAGGAAACCCAGCCCGAUUUGUCGCCGAUUGGAUCUUGCUCUGCAGGCUGGAAUCCUGCACAUUUAUCUCUUCUGCUUCCGUUCCACUUUUGCUGGAACCAAUCGCAUCCUGGCUUAUCCAUCAGACGCACCAGGAUCGUGGUCUGAUUGGUUGAAGGACUAUCCAAGCGUACAGAGACAUUUGAACUAUGCAAAUUCAUCACGCCUCUUGUCCAGUAGAAAUACAGCGCAGACUCCCCAGACAAAUGUUCAAUCUCAAAAGACUGAGCUUGGUGAUAGCCAAGCUACGA